AAUUUGCAAAUCUCUGUGUAUCUUGGCCAAAAGAGCUUUUUGUCAGACUUUAUUUCCCUUGGUUUAAGAAAACAAUGGCUAUUUUAGUUUUCUAAAUGUAAAAUUAUAUAUAAUACUAUACUGAAUAUGACUUUUAUAACUAUAAAUACCUAUCCUUGUCUGUUUAGAUGUCUAUUUCUUUUCCACCCACCACCUACCACCCACCUCCACCCUCAACCCUUGAAUAUUACCACACAGUGGCCACAUUAGAAGCCAAGGAUUGCUAGUGGGCAGAAAAUUUUGCAGCUGUUAACUUCUGAGCUAACAAUCCCAUCUGUAUCUCCUCAUCCUGUAAACAUUCUGUUUGGCAGUACUGUUGAGAUCUAUUUCUCCUCUUUUACUUUCUAAUUAACUUUCCAUGUGUUUUCUUUAAAUUCACCACCAGCUUGGCAUAAAGUAAUUUGCUUCACCAGGUGGUGUUUCACACAUUCCAGAUGUUAAUAUAGGUCUUAACCCUGUAUCAGCUUCAUGAGUAACAACAGCGCAAUAGUACUUUAUGACAGCCACCAAAUGAGUUGCAGAAUAUAGUUGAUAAAAGAUAAUUGUAAAUAGAGAAACCAUGUAAUUGAUUAUCCAAACUGUAACAUUUUGGGGGAGUUAAAGGGGGCACUAUUAAUAAUUAUGCUGAAAUAACAGGUGUAAAAUAGAAUAGUCCUGGGUGUAGGUCAUCCUGAUUAUAGAGGAAGCUAGCUCAGUGAGUACCCAGCUGAAGGCACAUCUGGUCUGGUACAGGUUAUCCUUUCAACGAUUGAAACAUCAUAAACAGUAAUCACCCUGGGUUAAGAAAUGUGUACGGCCAUAAUUGUAGUCCUGAACCAGUACUCUCAGUAGAUGUGUCUGCUAGGCUUCAUUGACACCAACCAAUGAUGUACCUGUUUAUUGAUAAGGAGUUUUAUUGGAAAUUCAUGUGAAGCAACAAGUGCCCAACUAUUCUAUGAGGGAAAGGUCAUUUUGUAUGUUUUGUCAUUUUUUUGUUUGAUUACCACCUGACGAAGCACAAAAUUAUAGUACCUUGGGUCCUAUUCUAUAUGGGCUCAAAAUCUAGAAAUAUGACAGGAAGAAUGAAAAUUUUAUCUGGAGAUGAAAUAGAAAUGAGUUGUACAGGUUUAUAAAUAAUAAUAAAAUUAUGAAAAUGAGCCUUUAUUGUGUUCCUACUAUGUUCCAGGCCCUGAAUUCUACUCAUAUUAUAGCACCUACUCAUCUUAACAGCCAUAUGAAGAAGGUAUUAUUUCUGUUGUCCACAUGAGGAAACUGCCAAGAAAUUUGCCCAGGGUUACAUAGGUGGAAGACUUAAGGAAAUAAAUUUAAGUCUGUUUGAUUUAAAAACCUGUCUUCUAUCUACUAUGACUACUGAUCCUCUGGAUUUUUUCUUUUAUUAUGUAGAUUACCAACUGUAUCACUGCUGGUGCAAGGGUCAGGCUCCCUUUGCACAUUCCUAAAGUGACUCUUAAGUUUCAUGUAAACAACUGCUAUUGUAAUUAAUACAUUAAUUUCAGGAAGCACCUUACCAUGAUUUUUAUGUCUGUUAGUGAUGGAGCCUAACAGAUCCAAUUCUCCUACUUAGGUGGGUAAUGCUGAUAUUUUUCCUCAUAAAGAUACGGUCAUAAGAUAUGCUUAACUGUUUACUUAGCCACAGUUAAGGAUUAGCAGUUGUUUAUAACUUAUCUUAGCAAUUAGAAUAAAUAUAUAAUCAUCUUAGUUAAGCUCUCAUAACAUUUCUAAGUUGUCACACUAAAUUAUAUGUCUGAAAAUUAAAAAGAGAAAUUACUAGGAUGGUGGGUAGUCUAGUUUAACUAGACUAGCUAUGAAUAUGUAUCCAUUUUGGAAGUGAUAUGGUUUGGAUUUGUGUCCCCACCUAAAUUCACAUUGAAUUGUAAUUCUCAGUGUUGGAGGAGAGGGGCCUGGUGGGAGGUGAUUGGAACAUGGGGGUGGACUUCCCCCUUGCUGUGCUCAUGAUAGUGAGUAAGUUCUCACAAGAUCUGGUUGUUUAAAAAUGUGUAGCACUUCUCCCUUCUCUCUCUUCCUCCUGCUCUGGCCAUGUAAGACAUGCUUGGUUCCCCUUCACCUUCCGCUGUGAUUCUAAGUUUUCUGAGGCCUCCCCAGCCCUGC
rnacentral:lncRNA from 10 species